rnacentral:rRNA from 1 species
AGAGUUUGAUCCUGGCUCAGGAUGAACGCUAGCUACAGGCUUAACACAUGCAAGUCGAGGGGCAGCGGGAUUGAAGCUUGCUUCAAUUGCCGGCGACCGGCGCACGGGUGAGUAACGCGUAUCCAACCUUCCGUACACUCAGGGAUAGCCUUUCGAAAGAAAGAUUAAUACCUGAUGGUAUGAUGAGAUUGCAUGAUAGCAUCAUUAAAGAUUUAUCGGUGUACGAUGGGGAUGCGUUCCAUUAGGUAGUAGGCGGGGUAACGGCCCACCUAGCCAACGAUGGAUAGGGGUUCUGAGAGGAAGGUCCCCCACAUUGGAACUGAGACACGGUCCAAACUCCUACGGGAGGCAGCAGUGAGGAAUAUUGGUCAAUGGACGAGAGUCUGAACCAGCCAAGUAGCGUGAAGGAUGAAGGUCCUACGGAUUGUAAACUUCUUUUAUAAGGGAAUAAACCCUCCCACGUGUGGGAGCUUGUAUGUACCUUAUGAAUAAGCAUCGGCUAACUCCGUGCCAGCAGCCGCGGUAAUACGGAGGAUGCGAGCGUUAUCCGGAUUUAUUGGGUUUAAAGGGAGCGCAGACGGGUCGUUAAGUCAGCUGUGAAAGUUUGGGGCUCAACCUUAAAAUUGCAGUUGAUACUGGCGUCCUUGAGUGCGGUUGAGGUGUGCGGAAUUCGUGGUGUAGCGGUGAAAUGCUUAGAUAUCACGAAGAACUCCGAUUGCGAAGGCAGCACACUAAUCCGUAACUGACGUUCAUGCUCGAAAGUGUGGGUAUCAAACAGGAUUAGAUACCCUGGUAGUCCACACGGUAAACGAUGGAUACUCGCUGUUGGCGAUAUACUGUCAGCGGCUUAGCGAAAGCGUUAAGUAUCCCACCUGGGGAGUACGCCGGCAACGGUGAAACUCAAAGGAAUUGACGGGGGCCCGCACAAGCGGAGGAACAUGUG